GUGCCCGUAGCUCAGUCGGAUAGAGCAACGGCCUUCUAAGCCGUGGGUCAGGGGUUCGAAUCCUCUCGGGCGCGCCA
rnacentral:tRNA from 1 species